rnacentral:rRNA from 1 species
UACGGAGGGGGCUAGCGUUGUUCGGAAUUACUGGGCGUAAAGUGUGCGCAGGUGGCCGCGCAAGUCGGGUGUGAAAUCCCCGAGCUUAACUUGGGAAUUGCGCUCGAAACUACGUGGCUCGAGUGUGGCAGAGGAAGGUGGAAUUCCACGUGUAGCGGUGAAAUGCGUAGAGAUGUGGAGGAACACCGAUGGCGAAGGCAGCCUUCUGGGCCAACACUGACGCUCAUGCACGAAAGCGUGGGGAGCAAACAGG